rnacentral:rRNA from 1 species
UAGAGUUUGAUCCUGGCUCAGGAUGAACGCUGGCGGCGUGCUUAACACAUGCAAGUCGAGCGAAAUAAUUGAGAGCUUUGCUUUUGAUUAUUUUAGCGGCGGACGGGUGAGUAACGUGUGGGCAACCUACCUUUUACUGUGGAAUAAUCGUUGGAAACGACGACUAAUACCGCAUACGAUUUUCUGAAGGCAUCUUUGGGAAAAGAAAGGAAAUAUUCGGUAAAAGAUGGGCCCGCAUCUGAUUAGCUAGUUGGUGAGAUAAUAGCCCACCAAGGCAACGAUCAGUAGCCGACCUGAGAGGGUGACCGGCCACAUUGGGACUGAGACACGGCCCAAACUCCUACGGGAGGCAGCAGUGGGGAAUAUUGCACAAUGGGCGAAAGCCUGAUGCAGCAACGCCGCGUGAAGGAAGACGGUUUUCGGAUUGUAAACUCCUAUCAAUAGGGAAGAAAGAAAUGACGGUACCUAAAUAAGAAGCCCCGGCUAACUACGUG